UGCCCACAACCGAGCACACCAUCACCACCUUAAACAUCCUCAUCUUCUUCAUUACAUUGUCCAUUCAAAGCCUAGAAAUCAUCCAUGGAAGGUGCAACUUGAAGGGAUUUCAAGGGAGCAUUGUUCUUGCUUGGUUCUACAUCUUUUUCUCGUCAUUUUUACACAAGAUUCUUCCCUAGCUAGAGGCUAGUAGUAAGUUUCUUCAUACUUGAUCUCAUCUUGUUCGAAAUAUUGACAUAUCGCAUGAAAGCUUGCACGAGGAAGGAGUCGUUGUGGUGUACGGACGGUUAUGUCUCGUGUUUAAUACAUAAUCCUUGUGAACUUAUUAAACUUGCGUUUGAAACUUUAACUUGAACUAUGGACUAUGUUUUGGACUUUACGUUUAUGCUUCCGCUGUUAAACUAAAAUCGGCUUACUUCCUUUUGGUCACCAAUCGUAUUAUGGUUGUUUUACUUACUUAAAUACGUUGUUCGAUAUGAUUGGUGGCUCGAUCCUGGUCUCGUCACGCCUCCAAGCGGUGGUACUCCGCAUGGUGGAUUUUGGGGGUGUGACAAAUGAGAAUGAAGAAACAAUCAAGACUCAUUUUGGGAGAAUAUCUCGGCUUGAAAGUGAAGCUGAGAAUUCGAGGAACAAAAUUGAGGAACUUGAAAAGAAAUUGAAAGGUUUUGUGACAUCAUACGAGUUUUUGAAUAUCCCCUGUCCAAAACCAAUCAAUUCUAUUCCAAUAAGUGACAAUGUCACAAACUUUGACA
rnacentral:lncRNA from 1 species